CUUAUCAUUUAGAGGAAGGAGAAGUCGUAACAAGGUUUCCGUAGGUGAACCUGCGGAGGAUCAUUGUCGAAUCCUGCAGAGCAGAACAACUCGUGAACUUGCUAUCACAACGUGUCGAGGGGGCAUGGUGACAUCCGUUAUCCAUUUCCCCCCGACUGGCCCCCGUGGCCAAGAUAUAACCAACCCCGGCGUGUAUUGCGCCAAGGAAGUACGAUAACAAGGCGUUUGCCCCAUGUGUCCAGAGAAGGAUUGCUUGGGGUCAUCCGUGAUACGUAAUGCAAAAUGACUCUCGGCAACGGAUAUCUCGGCUCUCGCAUCGAUGAAGAACGUAGCGAAAUGCGAUACUUGGUGUGAAUUGCAGAAUCCCGUGAACCAUCGAGUCUUUGAACGCAAGUUGCGCCCCAAGCCUUCGGGCCGAGGGCACGUCUGCCUGGGUGUCACGAAUCGUAGCACAAUCAACCCCGUGAAACCAAAGUUCAUGAUGGUUGGUGUCUGCCUGAUAUUGGUCUCCCGUCCUAAGAACGGUGCGGUUGGCCUAAAUGUAGCGACCCUGAUGUGGUGCAUGCCACGAUGAGCGGUGGUUUGUCUAUAUAACCUUUCCCUCGUUAAUACAUCGUGUGCAUCAUCGCAUCGCUGGUGGUUGAUUCUGCACCCCUUACGCCAUCUUGUUAGAUAGCGCACAUCGCGACCCCAGGUCAGGCGGGAAUACCCGCUGAGUUUAAGCAUA
rnacentral:misc_RNA from 1 species